ensembl:lncRNA
GGGAGCUCUGAGUCAGCUGGAGGAGGAGAUAGGAGGAGGGCCAGAUUGGCUACAGUCCGCUUCAGAGACCCCAGCCUGCCAGACCAGGAUGUCCACGUCCUGCACCAGUCAUUCAGUGAUCUGCGCAGUGACCAGCUGAGACUGGGAGAUGACAUGGACAGAGAUCAUCAGGAGGAACAGGUGUCGCCUCAUGUGGAGAAGUGUCUGCAGGAGAUUAAGAGGGAGAUGAGUUCGGAGCGACAGAGCGUGUCAGCGAGACGACCAGAACAGUGUGGGAUCAUGUCUGACAAACUGCAGGAGGUGACACUACUUCCAGUCCCAUCCCUCGCUCUCUGGCAUUAUCAUCAGACCUGGCGAGUCGCGAGCAGCAGCAUUUGAGGAUGUUGGAGCAGUUGAAGGAGACCCAGGGUCGCUCGGAGGCGGGAGGGCCCAUGUCCUGAUCAGGGUGCUGCGGAGAGGGCCCAUGUCCUGAUCAGGGUGCUGCGGAGAGGGGGCCCAUGUCCUGAUCAGGGUGCUGAGGAGAGGGCCAAUGUCCUGAUCAGGGUGCUGCGGAGAGGGCCCAUGUCCUGAUCAGGGUGCUGUGGAGAGGGCCCAUGUCCUGAUCAGGGUGCUGCGGAGAGGGCCCAUGUCCUGAUCAGUGUGCUGAGGAGAGGGCCCAUGUCCUGAUCAGGGCUGAGGACACAGAGGCCCAGCUCCAAGACAGCACCA